UCAAAAAAUGGGCAAAGUAGUCAU
rnacentral:miRNA from 1 species